rnacentral:lncRNA from 1 species
GAAGCCGCUUCUCUGCCCGAGUUAGGUUUCGCCCAGCGCAAUUUCUUUCUCUAUGUACUUUGCGAAUAAGUUUCGGAGCAUCGGUUAACAGCCUAUGGGUGAAAUUUGGCUUUCAUUCAUGAAUGAGGAAUCCAGAUCUUACAUAAGAUGGAAGUCUCUCACACUAGAUACUGAACAUUAAAUAGAAAAUCUACUUAGUAAAAUCUAAGUUGCCAUGGAAGAAAUACCAGUAAAAGUUGCUGUAAGAAUUAGACCUCUGCUUUGCAAAGAAGUUCUUCAUAAUCACCAAGUUUGUGUGAGAGUUAUUCCAAACAGCCAGCAAGUUAUCAUUGGGAGAGAUAGAGUCUUCACUUUUGAUUUUGUUUUUGGCAAAAAUUCCACUCAAGAUGAAGUUUAUAACACAUGUAUAAAGCCCCUAGUGUUGUCACUCAUUGAGGGCUAUAAUGCAACUGUUUUUGCCUAUGGACAAACUGGAUCUGGGAAGACAUACACCAUUGGAGGGGGCCAUAUUGGUAAGAUUCUCAUACUCUUUGACUUUUAUUUGUG